rnacentral:rRNA from 1 species
AUGUGGGCACCUGUUAUCUAUGAGGGUUCACCCACCCCGGUGAGAGCAUUCCUUUCUAUUGCGCCUAAAACCCCUAUUUCUGCAAAUAUGUCAUGUGUUUCUAUUGUUGCUUCCUAUGGGGGUACAUUACAACAAAUCUUGUUUUUCUGCAGCAUUGCUUCUAUGAUCUUAGGAGCACUGGCCGCCAUGGCCCAAACGGAAGUCAAAAGACCUCUAGCUCAUAGUUCGAUUGGACAUGUAGGUUAUAUUCGUACUGGUUUCUCAUGUGGAACCUUAGAAGGAAUUCAAUCACUACUAAUUGGUAUAUUUAUUUAUGCAUCAAUGAUGAUAGAUGCAUUCGCCAUAGUUCCAGCAUUACGGCAAACCCGUGUCAAAUAUAUAGCAGAUUUGGGCGCUCUAGCCAAAACGAAUCCUAUUUCGGCUAUGACCUUCUCCAUUACAAUGUUCUCAUACGGAGGAAUACCCCCGUUAGCCGGCUUUUGUAGCAAAUUCUAUUUGUUCUUCGUCGCUUUGGGUUGUGGGGCUUACUUCCUAGCCCCAGUGAGAGUAGUGACUAGCGUUAUAGGUCGUUGGGCGGCCGGAAGGUUGCCAUGA